rnacentral:rRNA from 1 species
AGAUUGAACGCUGGCGGCAGGCCUAACACAUGCAAGUCGAGCGGUAGAGAGGUGCUUGCAUCUCUUGAGAGCGGCGGACGGGUGAGUAAUGCCUAGGAAUCUGCCUAGUGGUGGGGGAUAACGUUCGGAAACGGACGCUAAUACCGCAUACGUCCUACGGGAGAAAGCGGGGGACCUUCGGGCCUCGCGCCAUUAGAUGAGCCUAGGUCGGAUUAGCUAGUUGGUGAGGUAAUGGCUCACCAAGGCGACGAUCCGUAACUGGUCUGAGAGGAUGAUCAGUCACACUGGAACUGAGACACGGUCCAGACUCCUACGGGAGGCAGCAGUGGGAAUAUUGGACAAUGGGCGCAAGCCUGAUCCAGCCAUACCGCGUGGGUGAAGAAGGCCUUCGGUUGUAAAGUCCCUUUGUUGGAAAGAAAGCAUUCGGUAAUACCCGGUGUUCGUGACGGUACCAAAGAAUAAGCACCGGCUAACGUUCGUGCCAGCAGCCGCGU